CAGCCGCCGCGGGAAUACGUAGGUGGCAAGCGUUGUCCGGAAUUAUUGGGCGUAAAGGGCUCGCAGGCGGUUUCUUAAGUCUGAUGUGAAAGCCCCCGGCUCAACCGGGGAGGGUCAUUGGAAACUGGGAAACUUGAGUGCAGAAGAGGAGAGUGGAAUUCCACGUGUAGCGGUGAAAUGCGUAGAGAUGUGGAGGAACACCAGUGGCGAAGGCGACUCUCAGGUCUGUAACUGACGCUGAGGAGCGAAAGCGUGGGGAGCGAACAGGAUUAGAUACCCGAGUAGUCCCUGUCUCUUAUAC
rnacentral:rRNA from 1 species